rnacentral:lncRNA from 1 species
CAGUAAAAGAUCCUAUUUAUUUUGGUCCACGUAUUAGUUUAUUUUAAAUUUCUUCUAGGGUUAUCCUGGUUGCCGUGACAUAUUCUGGCAAGCUUUAUUAAACAAAUCAAUGUUACCUAUUUCAGUCAAGAUUAUGUGAGCUUCUUUAACUAUGAACACGUAUCAACGAUGGGUGUUUUAAGGAAUGGCUGGAUUAUUGUAAAAAAAAAAAAAAAAAUUAAUUAUUUAGAUCCUUAUAUUCCAUUAACAUUUCAAAAUUGUACCAAAUAUGGCACAGUUAAUAGUUACAAAUCAGCUUUAUUGUUGUUCAUAGAUUAAGACCACAAAGGUCCUAGGUAUAAUCUGACCUGGCCCAUCAUCCCAGCAUCGUGCUUAAUUAUUUAUCUGAUUUUUGGCCUGGGAACACUUAAAAAAAAAAA